GGGGACCGCCCAGGCUGGGCGGGGGCGGUACGGCCUGGGCUCCCUAACGAGGGAUCCUGCCCCGGCCGCGGCCUCCGCGGCGGUGGGGGUGAAAGGAUACAAGUGUUUAGAUGCUCCCUGCAGCAUUACUGUCCCAGAAGUUCCGUGGGCUCAACUCACUGCAGCUGAUGGGGCAUCGGUGUGUUUUCACCUCAUGAAAACCUCAACCGUCAUCUCCACUGGUUUUGUGCUCCUGAGGCACUACGCUUUUUUUUAUAUAUCGAGGACCAUGAUGGAUGAUGUACUACCCUGGGACAGAAAGGGACAGAUACCUCUGCACCAGGAAAGAAACGCUUUCUUCAUUGGAGAGUAUGGCCCAGAAGAGAAAUGACGAAAAAGGAUCUCCAUCUGCCACAGCAAAUGGGAUUUUGCAUCCUUCAGAAGAAAGAUAUCAAACACUUAAGUCACAUUAUAGUUCUGCCCAGUACUGCAUGAAACAGUCCAAGCUAGCUCAUGGUUAUUAUAUUUAUUAGUAUUUAAUUUUUUAAAAAUAAUUUUAUUGUAUUUAUUAUGACUAGUGGCAUUAUUAGGAUAGUCCAGAGCUCAGUGGAUAUGAUAUGAUAUGAUAUGAUUGAUAUGAUAUGAUACGAUAUGAUGAUAUGAUAUGAUAUGAUUGAUAUGAUAUGAUAUGAUAUGAUAUGAUAUGAUAUGAUAUGAUAUGAUAUGAUAUAACACUCUGGUCAGGUGUUCAGGCUUAAAAUGUUGAUUUUAAAGUUUGUUUCAUAGCCACACUUCCAUCAUGUCCUGGUGUCUCCUCAUGUGCUAGUUCCUGGCAUCACUUUUGGAAACAGACGUUCCAAAACUUUAGGAAACUGAAGGAAAAGAGGAAACUCCCAUACUACUGUGAGACUUUCUGAGUAUGAAAAAAAUGCAUGCUGUGUUUCUUAGAGGCUGCAGUCACAUUAGCACAGAAUUACAUUAACAUUUAAUGCUUAAAAAUGUCAGGAAAGGACUAGGGGGAGGAGAAAUAAAUUAGAACUCAGAGACAGAGACAGAUGAGACUCACACAAGUUUAAAUGCUGGAUUUGGAUUCCCAGUAGGGAACUGUAACCAUUACUUUUGCCUCAUGUCAAACUGUAAACAAAAACUUUGUGUGUUUAAUCUUAAGAUGCCCCCAUCUCCAGCUUGCUAAGCUAGUUGAAACUAAUUAAAUUGAACUACUGCCUCAAAAUAAUUUUGUUCCCUGAAAUGUUGUUUCAUAACGAAAAUUGUGAUAGGGAUGAAACAAAUCAUGCUCUUCUGAGGUCUCAGGGCUAUCAGCCACGCUCCAUUCAACCUUAGCAGUCACCUGAGCAGGAACUUCAAUCCUUUUGCAGGGAGUAGAUGCACUCAGAGCUGACUUGGCAGCUGAUACUGUGCCAGCAUAACAAGGAGAAAGCCUAGAGAGCUACUGCUUGUGCUCAGCGUCUUGUUUCUUGAGCCAUGUAGCUCAGAACCUUGUGCCUUUAGAAGACUGGUGGCCUGUCAGACUGAUGGGGGACUAGACAUACAGUCACUGCAUCUAGAUGUACAUGGUGACAGUCCCUGCUAAUGGAAGAAGUUCUAUGCUGUUAUUCUUUUAGUAAUGAGAUUUCUCCUAUCAGUAGCUGUGCAGAAGACUGAUCUUGGUAAUUUACUUCAUAAAAGCCAGAUGGAGUAUAUUUUAAGCUCUAAUUGAGGAAUAGCUUAGGAUUUUUUAUUUGUCGUUGUUUCAGUUUUUAAUUAAUAUCUGCUCAAGUAUUAGUGAGGAUUCCUACAAAGUAUAAGUUGUGCAGUCCUAGAAAGUCCAGUAAAAGCCUGUGCUUUUGUGUUAUUUGCUGACUGAUACUCCAGUGGGAUCACAUUGCCAAAAACAUGGGAUUUCACAGUAAAGUGAAAUUACACAUUAAAAGAGAAUGCUCAUAAAAUAUAUUCAUUUUUAAUGAAGACAUUAAAAAUCCACUCAGAGCUUUGUCUCCUCACUUCUGUG